UGCAGUAUGUUUGGGAGUUUCCAGCCACAGAGAGCGAGUGGAGCAUCAUCAUCACUUCUCUGCCCUCUCUGUCUCCCUGACAUUUCAGUGGGCUCUUUAAGAGGAGAGCCUUUCUGCAUCUGCUGAUCUGUCAGCAGGCGCGGUGCCGCCGCCCUCCCCGCGCACUGCCGCUGCUGCACCUCAGGAGACCGAAGCACCCGGCGUACAGAGGAACUCACUCUAUGCUGAUGCACCUGAGCCCGCGGAUCAUACAACUGAUAUUCGAUCGCCAUGGAUAAUCGAUAAUCGAAGCUAAAAUGCGCCAUGCCCACCGUCCUCGUCAUCCCGGGCUAUGCAGGUGUAAAAGGUAACCAGACUGAGAGCUGCUGGGAGAGGGACACACGGCCACGCUUUAUCUCCGGAUCAUUCAUGUUUAAUGUACAGCCAUGACAUGCUGUAAUGCUCUGGGAUGGACUUCUGCCGGCGCGCGCCUUUAGUUGUAGUUUCAUCGUCUGUGCCCUCCUCGGUGUGUUGGGUGGUUCAGCUGGUUUGGCGAGUGCAGGGAGCAGCAGCAGCACUUUGACCGAGUAAGUGUGAUAUAAACAGCUCUCACCUUACUGUGUGUGAAGUUUGCUGCACAUAAUGUACAUUUAUCAUAUUCAGACCCCCGAAACAAACACGAGUGCCCUGAAGCUGCUGAUGUAACACCACAGGAAGCUUCAUUUAAUAAUCUCACUCAUUAAAUGUGUGUUCACUGACGCUGGAGCUCAGUAUGUCCUCGCUGGUGGGUGAGCGGAGCCUGGGAGAGCUGCCCAUGGAGAGCUGGAUGUCUCACCUGCCAUGUGCCCUGUGGGACACCCCACUGUACCACCUGGCCAUCCCGGGCAGCCACAAUGCAAUAACCUACUGUCUGGAUAUGAAUGACAGAUCCCCUGUUGACCUCACCCAGCCUGACAUGCUUCAGAAGCUGGACAAAUACAUGAAGCCUUUCAUUCGCCCCUUUGUGUACAAGUGGGCGAUCACCCAGGAGUACACUAUAAAGCAGCAGCUGGACUGCGGGGUCAGAUACUGUGACCUGCGAAUUGCACACAGGCCCAAUGACAGCUCAAAUGAUCUUUACUUCUACCAUGGUGUAUACACCACGCUGACUGUGGAGACUGUUCUAAUGGAGAUAAGAGAGUGGCUGGAUGCUCAUCCCAAAGAGGUGGUCAUCCUCUCCUUCAGCCACUUCCUCGGACUGAGCCCGGAGCUCCACAUGCUGCUGGUCACAACCAUACGCAACGUAUUCACCUCCAAACUCUGUCCCAAAACGGAACUUUUAACUCUUCGAAACCUGUGGGCGUUAGGCUACAAAGUGAUUGUGUCCUAUGAACACAAUAUAGCCAGCUGUCACAUCGACCUGUGGCCACACAUUCCUUACUGGUGGGCCAACAAAUGCAAAGCUGAGGCUCUUAUUGAGGAGUUUGAACACAGGAAACAACACGGCCGACCAGGAGGUUUCUUCGUCACAGGAAUCAAUCUGACAGAGGACCUGAAGUACAUCUGCACACACCCUACAGAGUCCCUGAAGGACUUGGUGAUGUCCACGUAUCCAACGCUGCUGAGCUGGGUCAAGGAGCAGACCCCCGGCUCCAGAGUCGGCUCUCUCAACAUCAUUGCUGGGGACUUUAUCACAGAGAGCCAGUUUGUACCGACUGUCGUCACACUGAAUGAAAAACUACUGAAAUGGUCCUCGUGACUUUUCAUCUGUUUGCAUUACUCUACAAAAAAAUGUGAAUCACAGCAUGAAAUGAGCUUGUUUUGUUAAGAGUGACAGAAAAAGUACUUGAAUUACUCAUUUAAAUAUAAAUGCACUUAUUCAGAGGCAGUGAAAUGUAUAUUUCAGUCUUAAAGCGGCUUGAAAACAGACAUUUUGGUAUUUCUACCUGCACUUGUUUGUUUACAUUCAGUUCACUAUUUAUGCAAUGUACUGUAUCUGUUUCCACGAGUCAGCAAACGUGGCUGGUUUUAUGUUUCGAUGACCACAGCAAUAAUGAUACAACUAAUCUCACCUUGACGUAGGCAUUUUAGAUGAGUAAGCACAAACAAUGUAUUCAACGAGCACAUUUAAGUGUAGGUCACAAAUCUUUUCUAAUUAUGACAUGUGGGCAGCAAGUUAAAUAAGUAGCUAACCUGUAUCACCUACAACACACGUAUUUAUCCAUAGAGAAUGUAGAGACGCCAUGAAACUUAUGCAAAAUGCAUGGAAAUCUUAUUUGCAUGAACCCAACCUUGACUGUUUUACUUAAAAUUGACUUGAGCCAAAAGGUUAAGCCUUGUUUUAAAGUAAUGCUGCACCGCUGUGCCUGUGGAGAUGAGCUUUUCCAAUAAACGUGAGCAUUUUUAAGCAGGUCACCUCACUUUAUUCCCUGACUGUUAUGUACAAAUCAGAACAUCUCCUUCCACCAUGCGUGCGCUGGAGUCUCUACUCACCAAGGCGUUUGUUUCAGUUACACAAAAGAAGUGACUAUGUCUGUGUUGUUGUUGUGAACGUCUAACUAUGGAGUCCCAAAAGGGCCACAAUGAGGGAAAAAAAGCUUUUGUGUUCCCUUGCAGUGUGUGUUCAACGCUUCUGCGUCCCCUCACAAUAGUUUGUGUUACAUCAUCUGUCUAAAACUCUGCUGUUGUGGGAUCAGUCCAUUUAGUCCAGUCCAUUUUCAUCAAAGGAGCCAACAUGGUGGAAAAACAAGCAAAUAAUUAAUGUAAAGCUCUAUUAUUUAGAUGAUUUUAAAAGCCAAGGAACACUUUUUAAAGAAUAAGAGAAUAAUGCCUUUAUUCAGGUAAUGGCCUCUGCUGUAUGAGGCUGGAGACAGACUUGCUUUUUAAUCAUGCGUUUGCGUCAACAACCGGUUGUGUUGGGAACAAUUUUUCACAUACUUGCCCGUGUACUAUGUGUGUGACUGGAGGAUUCCACUGGGGGGGGCACACCAAAGAACUCAGACUGUAUAUAACCUAUACAUUUGCAUGAUUUUAACAGUUAACAUGGUGACACUUGAGAUGGUUACUACAUUAUUUGACAUCAUGGUAGAAAAAGCAACAGCAGUGCCAUCGUAGAUGAUAAAUCAGGCGACACGUGACAAUGGCGAGUGUUUCUUGAUCUGCCAACACUGCCCCUACUAUUCAUGUGCAUAUUGCAUCUUUCUGAUGUGUCACGUGAAUUUCUUGGGAUGUGCACAGCCAAUAUUCUGAACAGACGCACAAUACGUGAAGCAGCCAUCACACACAUGCGAACGCAUAGUGAAAAGCAGGUGUAUCUCCUAACAGUGUGAGGGGAAAUUCCUACCAAUGGUCAUUAAAUGUCAACAAAUUCUUUUCAAUUUCACCAUUGAUUUAAAUUUUUAUUGUUUCAAUUUUGUAGUCUUGGGUCCUAAAAAUCAAAAGGUUUAACUUGUUCCAUUUAUCAGUAUGUUGCCAGUAAUAUUCUAUACCCUUUGUCCUAUACUUUAAAAUGCACAGUCUCUGUUACACCUACAAGUAAAUGUAAAUAUCCACUCUAUAAUUUAAAGCUGCACUAAGAUUUAAUCGAAGUCUGACCCACAGAGUAACAGGAGCUCUCACUGACCCGCAGUUGAUUCCAGUGUUGCGUAGCGAGGCAAAAAGAUCUCUAAUGAGCAUUUAUUUUAAAUUAGUAGAAGUAGUUAGUAAUUAAUCACUGAAAACUCUAUAACUGUACAACACUCCUCACCCUCCAUGUGUUCGCAAUACUUCACCUAGACAGUUACAGAAGUCAGAUGUGGUUUUGAAUGUACAAGAUUAUGUUUUUUAUUCUGCAUUUCUUAAAUCAGGGACUUUACCUUGUCUUUUGUUCCUCUUCCUUCCUCUUGGUGGCUGCUGCCUGUUGUGAGAUGGGCGAAUAAUAUAUUGAUGAGUUAGAUGGAGAACAGUCUUGUCUUUGCUUAUGUGACAGAUGAAUGCAUACAUAAACAUGGCAUUUGCUCUUUUGUUUUUACGUGCAUGAACUUUUAUACAUAUUUAAUUAGCAUUGUUAAGAUUUUUCAUUGUCAGACUCUGUAAUUGUGCAUACACAAAACACUGACAGGUGAAGUGAAUAACUUUGAUUAUUUUGUUCCAAUGCAUUGUUCUGCUGGGAAACCUUUGGUUCUGGCAUUCAUGUGGUAAUCUGUUAAUCUUGUAAAUAUUUUGGGUAAAUCCCACCUUCAUACUUGUAAAUGGAAAAGGAUGUCCUCCCUCUUUCACUGUGCUCAUAUAUAACAUUGCCAACUACUUCAUGUUGCUAAAAUAUAUACAGACAAAUUGAAUAGUUAAGCCAACAAACUGUAUACAUCUAUAUCUAGGUCCUUGCUCAUUUAAAGUCUCUUGCCUUCGCUCUCUUGUGCUGCUUUUUUAUUUACCUGAUUGUUACUCCCUUUUAUUUUUGUUGCCUUUUUGUUUAUGUUUGUGCUUUGGCAUCAUUUCGACAAUUGCUGCUAAUUUAUUUUAUUCUUGAACUUGUAUUCCCCAACAUGUUCUGUACAUUCUCCUUGUGAUUAA